AAGGCAGAGGGGAGGAAGCCAGGAUGCAUUGUGGGAAUAUAAUGUGACUACAUUAUAUUCCCACAAUGCAUCCUGGCUUCCUCCCCUCUGCCUU